rnacentral:rRNA from 1 species
AUGAACGCUAGCGACAGGCCUAACACAUGCAAGUCGAGGGGCAGCACAAGGAGCAAUCUGAGGUGGCGACCGGCGCACGGGUGAGUAACACGUAUGCAACCUGCCUGUAAGCGGGGAAUAACCCGUUGAAAGACGGACUAAUACCGCAUAAUACUAAAUUACUGCAUGGUAAUUUAUUUAAACAUUUAUGGCUUACAGAUGGGCAUGCGCAUGAUUAGCUAGUUGGAGAGGUAACGGCUCCCCAAGGCAACGAUCAUUAGGGGUUCUGAGAGGAAGGUCCCCCACACUGGUACUGAGACACGGACCAGACUCCUACGGGAGGCAGCAGUGAGGAAUAUUGGUCAAUGGACGAGAGUCUGAACCAGCCAAGUCGCGUGCAGGAAGAAUGUCCCUAUGGAUUGUAAACUGCUUUUGCGGGGGAAUAAAGUGCAUCACGUGUGAUGUUUUGUAUGUACUCUGCGAAUAAGGAUCGGCUAACUCCGUGCCAGCCGCUGC